UUCUCUGGGGCUUCAGAUGGUAAACAGUCUGCCUGCAGUAUGGAAAAACUGGGUUCAAUCCCUGGGUCAGGAAGAUCCCUUGGAGAAGGAAAUGGCAACCCACUCCAGUAUUCUUGCCUGGAGAAUCCCGUGGACGGAGGAGCCUGGUGGCUACAGUCCAUGGGGUCGCAGAGUCAGACAUGACAGAGUGACUCACACUUUCGUGUUAGGCAAGUCUUAGCACAAGUGGCACGGGCAGAGGGCUCAUUACCAAUGAGCUUGGCCAUUGGCAAAGGGGUUUUAGUAUCACUGUGUGUACCUCCUUCUGGGGCCCUUAACAUUUUACGCCUGUGACAUUAGAUUUAGCUGUGCAUGUUCUCUUUACACAAGUAGUAAUUGAGACUUAUUUCCUCAGCCUCCCAGAAACAUAGAAAAAAAAGAGGCAGCCCCUGAUAGGUCAAUUGGUAAAGAAUCCGCCUGCAAUGCAGGAGACCCCUGUUUGAUUGCUGGGUCGGGAAGAUCCCCUGGAGAAGGGAAAGGCUACCCACUCCAGUAUUCUGGCCUGGAGAAUUCCAUGGACUAUAUAUAGACCCUGGGGUCUCAAAGAGUCAGACAUGACUGAGCAGCUUUCACUUUCCAUGCUCUUGGAUGGAAGACUUCGAUUGGAAAGGAGAGAAGAGUUGUAAUAUCUCAUUUUGGUGCUAAAGUAUAAGCAUUUCAAGACUUCGUUUUCCUUCUGCUACUGACAGGCGAAUCUUCUUUGCUAGCUUUCAACUUGAAUUUCUGUCCUGCUGCUACUGGCAAAACAGGGGGUAUGGAUGAGGGGGAGGUGUUUAUGCAGUUGUGUACAGCCCUGGCAGGCUUUGCCUUUGACUGAAUUUCCAAGGAUCCAGUGGUUAAGACCAGUGAGAGUUAGAGUCAGAGUAUAUAUGAAUUUGUCCCAGUUAACAAUCAAAAUAUCACCAAUACAAUAUUGUAAAGU
rnacentral:misc_RNA from 1 species